rnacentral:rRNA from 1 species
GUGUCAGCAGCCGCGGUAAUACGUAGGGUGCAAGCGUUAUCCGGAAUUAUUGGGCGUAAAGAGCUCGUAGGCGGUUCGUCGCGUCUGGUGUGAAAGUCCAUCGCUUAACGGUGGAUCUGCGCCGGGUACGGGCGGACUGGAGUGCGGUAGGGGAGACUGGAAUUCCCGGUGUAACGGUGGAAUGUGUAGAUAUCGGGAAGAACACCAAUGGCGAAGGCAGGUCUCUGGGCCGUUACUGACGCUGAGGAGCGAAAGCGUGGGGAGCGAACAGGAUUAGAUACCCUGGUAGUCCACGCCGUAAACGGUGGAUGCUGGAUGUGGGGCCCGUUCCACGGGUUCCGUGUCGGAGCUAACGCGUUAAGCAUCCCGCCUGGGGAGUACGGCCGCAAGGCUAAAACUCAAAUAAAUUGACGG